rnacentral:snRNA from 1 species
GGAUGUGGUGAUCUGGCUGCAACAUCUGCAACCCCAUUAACUGCCUGUGUUGAUUCAGCUGAACUGGCUGGCUGGGUGGGCAUCCCGUUCCUCCUUCCAUGCUCCGUGUCUAUCCCUCCUCCAGCAGUGCACUCGGUGGAAGGGAAAGACCUUGUCCAACACAGGAAGGCUGGCCUUCAAUCAAAGGCAUCUUAGCUGAUCCGCCCUAGUGGAACCUUCAAACACGCUGCCAAAGCAAUGGGGGUGGGGGGCGUGGUGGUGGGGUGGUGCUGGUCCAUUUCCGUAUUAUACCA